AAAUUAAAGGCCUUAUUAUGUAGGAGACACAUACAUUAUGUCGAACCACUUUUACCCCAACAAAAACAUCCUCAUGAGCAUUCAUUAAUUAUGAUAAAACACAAAAAUUAAAGGAUUGGCAAUUAAUAUUAUUGCUUUUUCAUAAUUAAUUCAUCAACCCUUUCCCAGAUCCCUCUAAAAAGUUAAAAAUAAAAAAUUAAGAGCAUCAUCAUUAUAUAUAAAAAAGAUAUAUGUUACUAAUCUUUCUUUAGGCAAAGGUACGUAAUACAUAAUAUAAAUUAAAGGAGAGACUGGAUUCAAUUCGAUUCCGUUAUCAUGAAACUCAUAAACAGUCUCAUUAAUUUCCCUACUAAUCCGAUAUUCCUAUAUAUCCGAUUAGCAAGACAAAUGAUGAGGGCUGGGGGAGAAAAAGAGCUAGAUAGCUUCAUUUAAUUAACUAUAUAUAUAUAUAUAUAUAUAUAUAUAUAUAUAUAUAUAUAUAUAUAUCUUU
rnacentral:lncRNA from 1 species